rnacentral:rRNA from 1 species
GACCUCAAAUCGGGUGAGACUACCCGCUGAACUUAAGCAUAUCAAUAAGCGGAGGAAAAGAAACUAACAAGGAUUCCCCUAGUAACUGCGAGUGAAGCGGGAAAAGCUCAAAUUUAAAAUCUGGUGGCCUUUGUCCAUCCGAGUUGUAAUUUAGAGAAGCGUCUUCCGCGCUGGACCGUGCACAAGUCUCCUGGAAUGGAGCGUCAUAGAGGGUGAGAAUCCCGUCUUUGGCACGGACACACCAGGGCUUUUGUGAUGCGCUCUCAAAGAGUCGAGUUGUUUGGGAAUGCAGCUCAAAAUGGGUGGUGAACUCCAUCUAAAGCUAAAUAUUGGCGAGAGACCGAUAGCGAACAAGUACCGUGAGGGAAAGAUGAAAAGCACUCUGGAAAGAGAGUGAAACAGUACGUGAAAUUGUUGAAAGGGAAACGCUUGAAGUCAG